CCCUGUAUCGAAAGGUGAUCAUGGCGUCCUCAUCGCCUGGUCAUUAUUUUACUACAGGAAAAGGAAACUGCGAACCUUUCCCUGUGUUUGCAGGACAUCACUUCCUGUUAAACCCUGGUGCUCGCAUACA
ensembl:snoRNA SNORA71 Small nucleolar RNA SNORA71